rnacentral:rRNA from 1 species
UACAGAGGUCCCAAGCGUUGUUCGGAUUCACUGGGCGUAAAGGGUGCGUAGGUGGCCAGGUAAGUUUGAUGUGAAAGCUCGGAGCUUAACUCCGAAAUGGCAUUGAAUACUAUCUGGCUUGAGGGUCGGAGGGGAGACUGGAAUUCUCGGUGUAGCAGUGAAAUGCGUAGAUAUCGAGAGGAACACCAGUGGCGAAGGCGAGUCUCUGGACGACACCUGACACUGAGGCACGAAAGCUAGGGGAGCGAACAGG